rnacentral:tRNA from 1 species
GGGGCUGUAGCUCAGUGGCAGAGCGCUUGCCUAGCAUGCGUGAAGCACUGGGUUCGAUCCUCAGCACCA